AAAUUGAAGAGUUUGAUCAUGGCUCAGAUUGAACGCUGGCGGCAGGCCUAACACAUGCAAGUCGAGCGGAAACGAGUUAUCUGAACCUUCGGGGAACGAUAGCGGCGUCGAGCGGCGGACGGGUGAGUAAUGCCUAGGAAAUUGCCCUGAUGUGGGGGAUAACCAUUGGAAACGAUGGCUAAUACCGCAUGAUGCCUACGGGCCAAAGAGGGGGACCUUCGGGCCUCUCGCGUCAGGAUAUGCCUAGGUGGGAUUAGCUAGUUGGUGAGGUAAGGGCUCACCAAGGCGACGAUCCCUAGCUGGUCUGAGAGGAUGAUCAGCCACACUGGAACUGAGACACGGUCCAGACUCCUACGGGAGGCAGCAGUGGGGAAUAUUGCACAAUGGGCGCAAGCCUGAUGCAGCCAUGCCGCGUGUGUGAAGAAGGCCUUCGGGUUGUAAAGCACUUUCAGUCGUGAGGAAGGCGGCGUCGUUAAUAGC
rnacentral:rRNA from 1 species